CUCUGUGAAUCUGUGAUCUCGUUCGUGUUCGUACUGUUUUUCAGUUUCGAAAAACCAGUUCAUAAAUAAAGAUUAAAAUGUUUGCAAUCCAACCACCUGCCAAACAGAAGCCUGGCUUUUUUGGUUUCUUACGGAGCUGUUACGAUGAUUCUAACACGUGGGAUAAAAUAAAGAGCCUGACAAUGUUUGUAAUUGGCAUCUACUUUUCAAAAGAUAUAUGUAGUAUUGAUUUUACUUUACCACCGUUAAGUACACGGCCAUAACUUCUUAUCACAAGGUGUCAGUUUUAAUUAAAAGCAUGAAGAGAAUGGAGCUGCUUUGUGUUACAUCUCUCAUAAUCAAAAAUCCUUGUAUAUAGAAUCUCUUAUGAUGUAUAUCAAGACUGCAAUAAAUCUAUAACAAUUUCAGUGACUUAUUUGAUAGCUUUUCAUUAAAACACUUUCUUUUAAUAUUGUUAUUUUACAAUUCUUAAUUUUAAAAAAAUUCAGUGUAUUUUAUUUUGUCAUUUUAUAUUUUAGUAAAUUUUGUUCUGCAUAGUAUAUUAAUCAGCUUUUAAGAAUGAAGUUAAUCUGCAUAGUGUAUUAAUCAGCUUUUAAGAAUAAAGUUUCUGAAUUCUC